UACGGGGGGGGCAAGCGUUGUUCGGAAUUACUGGGCGUAAAGGGCGUGUAGGCGGCCAACUAAGUCCGACGUGAAAUCCCCAGGCUUAACCUGGGAACUGCGUCGGAUACUGGAUGGCUUGAAUCCGGGAGAGGGAUGCAGAAUUCCAGGUGUAGCGGUGAAAUGCGUAGAUAUCUGGAGGAACACCGGUGGCGAAGGCGGCGUUCUGGACUGUUUCUGACACUGAAAAACGAAAGCCAGGGGAGCAAACGGG
rnacentral:rRNA from 1 species